AGCUAGCUAUCCAUUCAAAUUAAAUUGUUGUAUCUGUUAACUUUUAACAAAUGGAGUCCACAAACACUGAAUCAGCGCUGACUAAGCAUUGCAACUCAUAUAAAGAAAUUAAAAAACAUAGAGAACAAGCAAAAGCACAAAGCUGUAAUUAUCAAUAGCGAAAAGCAAAAGCCGUUUUCACUGUCUUCUUCUCCACUGCCGGCACCGGGACUGGCGUUAGCACCUCAACCGCCUCCUUUACCUUCUUAUCUACCACCAUUAUCGGAUCCUAAUUUACAAAUUAAAAAUAAAUAAACUUUUAAAUACUUAGAUUUACAAAACAAAAUAACAAAAACAAUUAAAGCUUUCUUCUUUUUCUUUUAGUCGAACCAGAACCAAAUAAAUAUAAUAUCCUUAAUUAAUUUUUAUCAGUCCGAUUCAUUCGAUUCUCAUCAUCGGGAUCAAAUGCUUAAGCUAUGGGUGAAUGCUUGCAAGUGAAGGAGAAACAAGAAUGGGAAGAGAAAUUGGGAUUUCCAAACCAAAAAAAAAAAAAAAAAGAAAAAAAAAGGAGAUAAAAGAGAAACUCAACAAUUUGUAGCUUUUGUUGUAGUUUCCAGUGAAUUGCCUUUUAUGGUUUGUGAUCAAGAGACGAAGACAGGAUGCUGAGAGCAAGGGAGGAGAUGAGGAAACUGCAUUAGCUUCCCUUUGAUGAAAACAACCAAUUGACUGUGUCUCAAAUGGUUGGUUGGCCGGAAAGUUCCUUUUGUUGACGGAGAUGGCAUCUUUUCCCCUUUUUGUGUUUGAGUCUGAUGCUAAUAGUAAUAAAAAUAAUAAAAAUCUACCCUAAUUAAAAUAAUAAAAAUCAGGUUUUUUUCCUUUUUUAAAUCCACGUGUAUAUCCCACGUUGUAAAAAGACUACUACUUAUAAG
rnacentral:lncRNA from 1 species